GGCCUGAUGGUCUAGAAGUAUGAUUCUCCCUUCGGGACGACCCGCAACUUCGUUGUAUAAAUGGGAGAGGUCCCGGGUUCAAUUCCCGGUCAGGCCC